AUCAUCCCUAAGUUGAGGUAAGACUUUUAAAAUCGAAUUUGACUUAGUGGUAGUUAUAGAAAAUGUUGUACGUACGAAAAUACUAAACUUUAAUUCUACGAGUUUUCAUUUUCAGGGUAUUGAGUUAAGAACCUUGUGGGUACGGGGAAGAUUUUCUUAGGAGUUUUUCAGGAAUCAGGAGCCCAGGAUAGAAGAGCGGGAAAAGCCCCGCUGAUAUAGUACGGUCUAUAUGUCCUUUUUGAAGGGUAAGUUUUGUAGGGACAGUUAGAUUUUGUGGGAAAUGUCCCUAGGUUUUAUUUUUGGGAUGUAUAUAUGAAAAUACAGUGAUUGUAGUAACUCUGGUAUAUUGUGGUAUAUGGUAUUGAGAUGUACAUGUUUGUAUA